GAUGAACGCUGGCGGCGUGCCUAAUACAUGCAAGUCGAGCGAACAGAUGAGGAGCUUGCUCCUCUGACGUUAGCGGCGGACGGGUGAGUAACACGUGGAUGACCUACCUAUAAGACUGGGAUAACUUCGGGAAACCGGAGAUAAUACCGGAUAAUAUAUUGAACCGCAUGGUUCAAUAGUGAAAGACGGUUUUGCUGUCACUUAUAGAUGGAUCCGCGCCGCAUUAGCUAGUUGGUAAGGUAACGGCUUACCAAGGCAACGAUGCGUAGCCGACCUGAGAGGGUGACCGGCCACACUGGAACUGAGACACGGUCCAGACUCCUACGGGAGGCAGCAGUAGGGAAUCUUCCGCAAUGGGCGAAAGCCUGACGGAGCCACGCCGCGUGAGUGAUGAAGGUCUUCGGAUCGUAAAACUCUGUUAUUAGGGAAGAACAAAUGUGUAAGUAACUAUGCACGUCUUGACGGUACCUAAUCAGAAAGCAACGGCUAACUACGUG
rnacentral:rRNA from 1 species